GCAGUCGACGGUAACGGAAGCAGCUUGCUGCUUCGCUGACGAGUGGCGGACGGGUGAGUAAUGUCUGGGAAACUGCCUGAUGGAGGGGGAUAACUACUGGAAACGGUAGCUAAUACCGCAUAACGUCGCAAGACCAAAGAGGGGGACCUUCGGGCCUCUUGCCAUCGGAUGUGCCCAGAUGGGAUUAGCUAGUAGGUGGGGUAACGGCUCACCUAGGCGACGAUCCCUAGCUGGUCUGAGAGGAUGACCAGCCACACUGGAACUGAGACACGGUCCAGACUCCUACGGGAGGCAGCAGUGGGGAAUAUUGCACAAUGGGCGCAAGCCUGAUGCAGCCAUGCCGCGUGUAUGAAGAAGGCCUUCGGGUUGUAAAGUACUUUCAGCGGGGAGGAAGGCGACAGGGUUAAUAACCCUGUCGAUUGACGUUACCCGCAGAAGAAGCACCGGCUAACUCCGUGCCAGCAGCCGCGGUAAUACGGAGGGUGCAAGCGUUAAUCGGAAUUACUGGGCGUAAAGCGCACGCAGGCGGUCUGUCAAGUCGGAUGUGAAAUCCCCGGGCUCAACCUGGGAACUGCAUUCGAAACUGGCAGGCUAGAGUCUUGUAGAGGGGGGUAGAAUUCCAGGUGUAGCGGUGAAAUGCGUAGAGAUCUGGAGGAAUACCGGUGGCGA
rnacentral:rRNA from 1 species